CAUCGAUGAAAACGCAGCGGACGGAUCAUUACCGAGUUUACAACUCCCAAACCCCUGUGAACAUACCUAUACGUUGCCUCGGCGGAUCAGCCCGCGCCCCGUAACAAGGGACGGCCCGCCCGAGGACCCCUAAACUCUGUUUUUAGUGGAACUUCUGAGUAAAACAAACAAAUAAAUCAAAACUUUCAACAACGGAUCUCUUGGUUCUG
rnacentral:misc_RNA from 1 species